rnacentral:lncRNA from 1 species
AGGGUUGAUAGUUAAACCUUAGGUCAUCUUGAGCAUUAGGAUCAAAGGGAUGAAUUAUGCGGUAACCAUAUGUCAAGAUUCUUGAAUAUUGCUUUACAAUUAUUCAACCUAUUUGAAAGUAUGAGACUUGAUUGAACAUGUAGAUUAAUAUAAUUAAGAAUUAAGUUGUAGGUCAUAUGAAAUUAAACAUUGAUUAUGUUCAGCUAACACUGCGCAUGAGGUGCGGAUUUGAUUUCAGAGAUGAAUUAAAUCAAAUCAAUGAUCUAAGCAAUUAUGAGAGAUUCGAUUAGAAUUCUAAUUACAUUAGAUCAGAUUUAAUUUAAUUAGACUUAAUUUUAUUAAGACUUGAUUGGAUUAAUUUAUCAAGUUGGACUGGGACAAGAAUUCUAAUUGGAUUAGGAUCAACAAUCUUUUCAAAAUUGGUUCAAAUCGAGUUCGAAUUGAAUUCGAAUUGAUCCAAAUCUGAUUUGGUCCACUUAGCCAUGUUUUUCAGCUAUUCUCUUACCAUGUGGGCCGAUCAAGGUAGUUGGGAAGGGGUUGGAAACAACCCCCUUCCCUUGGGCAUGUGGCACAAUGAAGGGAGGCAUAAGUUGGCGCCUCUCCUACUUGGUUUAGGAAUCUUUGUAUUUUAUGGAGUUUAGAUUUGAUUCAAACAUAGAGAAUCCUGUUCCUAUCAUCUUAAGGAGUUUGAUUUGAUCUAGAACAUCUUGUCUAUUUAAAGAGUGGUGUGGAGAAGAGAAUUAAUCAAUUAACCUUGGCCUAGACGUGGAGAUCC